UAAGGAAUAUUGGUCAAUGGACGCAAGUCUGAACCAGCCAUGCCGCGUGAAGGAUGAAGGUCCUCUGGAUUGUAAACUUCUUUUAUCUGGGACGAAAACGGGAUUUUUAUCUCAAUUGACGGUACCAGAGGAAUAAGCACCGGCUAACUCCGUGCCAGCAGCCGCGGUAAUACGGAGGGUGCGAGCGUUAUCCGGAUUUACUGGGUUUAGAGGGUGCGUAGGUGGGCUUAUAAGUCAGUGGUGAAAUCUCCGAGCUUAACUUGGAAACUGCCGUUGAUACUAUAGGUCUUGAAUUAUCUGGAGGUAAGCGGAAUAUGUCAUGUAGCGGUGAAAUGCUUAGAUAUGACAUAGAACACCAAUUGCGAAGGCAGCUUACUACAUAUAAAUUGACGCUGAGGCACGAAAGCGUGGGGAUCAAACA
rnacentral:rRNA from 1 species